AAGAGAAGAAAAAGCCCCACAUAAAGAAGCCCCUUAAUGCAUUCAUGUUGUAUAUGAAGGAGAUGAGAGCGAAGGUGGUGGCUGAGUGCACAUUGAAAGAGAGUGCAGCCAUCAACCAGAUCCUCGGGCGCAGGUGGCACGCCCUGUCCAGGGAAGAACAGGCAAAGUACUACGAGCUAGCCCGGAAGGAACGACAGCUUCACAUGCAGCUGUACCCUGGCUGGUCUGCACGGGAUAACUAUG
rnacentral:lncRNA from 1 species